GUGCAUGACAAGGACACUGUAAAAUAGCCUGUUUAUUAAAUAUUUUUAUUAACAUAUGUUUUAUUAACAUAAGAUGUGAUAAAAAUGAAAUUGCAGACAAAAAGGCCUUUGAUUAAAUGCGUCUAUUCUGUUGAAAAUUGCCAACAGAUAAAUUACAGGCGAGUGUUAGAAGUGUGUUUUAAGAGAGUCUAUUUUCUAAAAGCCCACAGGGACAAAACCUGAACACACACUCAUAGAUACUGCUCCACAUGCACUCACUCUUUGGUACUAUAUUAGGUGCACACUGUGUGUGCAAACAGCCCUCUUGUCUCGAGGGCAUAAUCCAUUUGAUGUUUACAUCAAGUGCUAUUGUGGCAGAUGUGGUAAAAUGUCCCUUAGGGGUGUUUAUCCUCAGCUGGGAGUCCAGACUGGUUUGACACCUGAGCUCCACUGCUCUCACUCUUUACAGCAAAUCUGCUUGUGAGCCAUUGAGAUUCAUCAAAUAUUUAAUGGCCACAGUUUCCGUGCCGUGAGAAGAAGGGGUUAGGGAGAGAGAACGAGAGAACAGAUAAACAAAAAGAGGUUGCUCCCACGGAAAUGGGAGGUCAGUGAGAUGGCGGGGACGGUUAAUGACGGCCAAGCAGCCCAAGUGGGGUAAGUGACCUCACUACGAGUACAACACUUAACUGCUGAUGUUUUGCUAGCUUCAGGGUGAGUUUAAGGUCUUGGCUGGGGAAACUCAAGCCUAUGAGUGUGACUCGUAAACGGAUGGAUUAACUGAUAACCUCCCGUUGAGGGGUAAACAGCAGUAAUUGAACUAAGGCACUGUCUAAGAAAAAAGCCCAGCAAUGUGUUAGGGAUUUUAUUACAAUGCAGAAACAAAUAAACAAAACCAAUAUAAACGUAUUUUUAUGCUUCACUCUUUCAUUUAAAAAUACAGAAUGAUUAUGUCUGACCAAAGUGGCAAGGAAGAAGACUCUUUACUGGACCAACAGGAAAAGCACCGUUAACCUUUUGUGACGAGUGGGGCGGGGCCGAGAGGAGUGGGAACGAAGAGUGAGGCCAGGUGUAAGUGACUACAUAGAAUUUUGACAUUGUUGCGCCUAUAUAGAGAUUUGACAUUCUAUGGCGCUCUAGAAUACUUGAUUCUUAUUGGUCAGCAGGAACAGAUCACAAUGAGAACUUGCUUGCAUUCAAAAACGCGAAACACUGCGAAAUUAAAUUGAUUUUAUUUUAAUUUUAACUUUGCAACUUUGCUUUCUCAAGACACAGCAUGCACGUUUGUAUAAAAAAAUAGAGCAAAACCCAAAACCAAGCAUAAAGACAAGGGUAAACAUCGCAGAGGCAUGUGUGAAAGGUUUUACUUAAUUUAUUAAGACUUUCUAUGAUUAAAAACGUCUGGAAAAGCAACGAGAUGCAGUACUCAUGUUUACAUAUAAAACUGCUUACAAAGCAGCGCUAGUGGACGCAAAAACAUACUCUGUGUGAACUGUAUCUAAACCCUGCUACUCAUUCUCUUCUAUUUCAUUAUGGGCUACUAAAGGUCGUUUCAUGCGAGGAAGGGAGCAGUUGUGUUACACAGGAGAAAUCUGAAUCCAACCAGACCCCAUACAUUGCUCCGGCCUUGGCAGUGACUCCAGUAGGCCUACACACACAGAGUAUACAUUUAUCAUAUGGAUAAGGUUCAUUAAAAAUGCUGAACAGUUUGUCCUUGUGCAAAUGUUCAGCACUGAAAUGCUAAUGCUGUUUACUCAGGUGGAUGAUGGGAAACAAUGGCCAGCCACAGGCCUAAAUUUACUCUAGGAUAUUCUGAGCUGUUUGUUCUGUGGUAAAAAAAAAAAAAAAUAGAUAAAAUAAAACAUUGUAGAAAUAACAUGUAUGCAUAGAGUGAAAUACGUCCGAUAGUGUGUUGGCAUAGGUGGAGUAGGCUUUGUAAAGUAAUUAAUUGAAUAAUGAGUGUGUGCUUCAAUAGCUAUAGGAGUCCCCUUUGAUCUCUGUUGGUACUGCUUGAAAUCUCUCCCAAUCGAAGAGCAAAACAUACCUCGGGCACAGUGAGAAACUCAUGUUUGUACUUAAUGUGCAACUAUAUUAAAUAUAGGGCAUGUUGCAAUAGAUUAAUGAUCUGGUUUGUCUGCCUUUUUAGCACUAGAUAGACUCUGGGGUUGGAUUUCAUUGAUCUGGCAUGCAUUCAGUAUAUUGUUGCCAACUUGCAACCCUUUCAGCUGGUUGUAAAUUAUGUAGCUGAGUUAGCUUUGCAAAAUAUAACGUGUCAUUGCCGCAUGUGUGCGCUAGAUGGAGGAGUUCAGUAAAGGUUUUGUUAGUUGCAGGCGGACAGUGAGGAUCUAACACUGCCCCCCAGUGGUGAGCAUUUGAAGUACAAGCGAGACCCCAGACCUCAUUUUGGAGUAGCCCACUCCUCUCGCUCUGUGUCUUUCCCCUGUGGGACAGUGAUAGGCCAAGGGAGAUGAAGAGGGGAGAGGAGGAAGAGGAAUCUGUCAGCUGUUGUCCUCACUGCCACCUUGGGCUGCCACGUGAAACACUACGCUGGAAUGAGGCAAGAAUGAAGGAAUGAGGAGAGGCUGAGAGGUUCAUUUCUCAAGCACAGUCUUCACGUUUCAGGUGUUAUCUGAGGCAGCCAAAGAGACUCAAAGUUGCCUCAAGCUGAGAGUUCACACAUGGAGUGAAUUGUCAACAAGGUUGAGUCUAGCAACAUCCUAAAGCUAGAGGUGUCCAUGCACCAUUGGCUUAUGAGGCAAGACAGGAUGCCAAAAUGAUUUUUACUGGCUUUCUAAAUCAGAAUCUAAAUCAUAUAUAUAUAUAUAUA